rnacentral:rRNA from 1 species
AAGUCGGGCUAAUACCAAAUGUGCUUUCCACUCUCAAGAGUGGUCAGGAAAGNNAGCUUCGGCCUCCGCAUCGGGAUGGGCCCGCGGCGCAUUAGCUUGUUGGUGAGGUAAUGGCUCACCAAGGCGACGAUGCGUAGCUGGUCUGAGAGGACGAUCAGCCACACUGGAACUGAGACACGGUCCAGACUCCUACGGGAGGCAGCAGUGGGGAAUCUUGCGCAAUGCGCGAAAGCGUGACGCAGCAACGCCGCGUGUGGGAAGACGGCCUUCGGGUUGUAAACCACUUUCAGUUGGGACGAAGGGCAGUCCGUUAAUAGCGGCUCUGCUUGACGGUACCUUCACAAGAAGCCCCGGCUAACUACGUGCCAGCAGCCGCGGUAAUACGUAGGGGGCAAGCGUUGUCCGGAAUCAUUGGGCGUAAAGCGCGUGUAGGCGGGUCGGUAAGUCUGCUCUGAAAGUCCAAGGCUCAACCUUGGGAUGCGGGUGGAUACUGCCGACCUCGAGUCCGGAAGAGGCGAGUGGAAUUCCUGGUGUAGCGGUGAAAUGCGCAGAUAUCAGGAGGAACACCAAUGGCGAAGGCAGCUCGCUGGGACGUGACUGACGCUGAGACGCGAAAGCGUGGGGAGCAAACAGGAUUAGAUACCCUGGUAGUCCACGCCGUAAACGAUGGGCACUAGGUGUGGGAGGUGUCGACUCCUCCCGUGCCGAAGCUAACGCAUUAAGUGCCCCGCCUGGGGAGUACGGCCGCAAGGCUAAAACUCAAAGGAAUUGACGGAAUCGAAUU